AACCAACUGGGAUUACCUUAGUAACGGCGAGUGAAGCGGUAAAAGCUCAAAUUUGAAAUCUGGUACUUUCAGUGCCCGAGUUGUAAUUUGUAGAAUUUGUCUUUGAUUAGGUCCUUGUCUAUGUUCCUUGGAACAGGACGUCAUAGAGGGUGAGAAUCCCGUUUGGCGAGGAUACCUUUUCUCUGUAAGACUUUUUCGAAGAGUCGAGUUGUUUGGGAAUGCAGCUCAAAGUGGGUGGUAAAUUCCAUCUAAAGCUAAAUAUUGGCGAGAGACCGAUAGGCGAACAAGUACAGUGAUGGAAAGAUGAAAAGAACUUUGAAAAGAGAGUGAAAAAGUACGUGAAAUUGUUGAAAGGGAAGGGCAUUUGAAUCAGACAUGGUGUUUUUGCAUUGCACUCGCCUCUCGUGGGCUUGGGCCUCUCAAAAAUUUCACUGGGCCAACAUCAAUUCUGGCAGCAGGAUAAAUCAUUAAGAACGUAGCUACCUCGGUAGUGUUAUAGCUUUUGGAAUACUGCUAGCU
rnacentral:rRNA from 1 species